GCUUCAAGCCAGGUUAUCGCAUCCGCCUUCGGUGGAUGAGGAAAGUCCGGCCAGCAAAGGGCAACACACCGGUUAACAGCCGGUCCGCCUUGGUGGAAGAGAGUGCCACAGAAAAUAACCGUCCGCCUUUGGGCGAGAUAAGGGUGAAAACGUAGGGUAAGAGCCUACGGUUGUUGCGGGUAACUGCAAUAGCGGGUAAACCUUGUGUGCUGAAAUGCCACGUAGAUUUUUAUUUGUGCUUUUUACCUUAAGCACAAGGCAGGCGGCCCGUCUGCCGCUCCCCUAACGGGCGUAAAAAUGGGUGGGCAGCUUAGAUUGUGACAGCAAUGUUACAACCAGAUAAAUGAUAACUACCCCGACUUGUCGGGAAUACAGAAGCCGGCUUACAGGUUUGAAGUUUAU
rnacentral:RNase_P_RNA from 1 species